rfam:Triticum urartu cultivar G1812 contig1157281, whole genome shotgun sequence.
AAGCUACUCCCUCCGUUCCGAAUUACUUGUCUUGGAUUUGUCUAGAUACGGAUGUAUCUACUCUAGAUACAUCCGUAUCUAGACAAAUCCAAGACAAGUAAUUCGGAAUGGAGGGAGUAUUUU